rnacentral:lncRNA from 1 species
AUGAAAAAAUUACAGACUUUGAAAACCCAAUAUGCUGUAAACUGUCAUUACCACAAACAAAAACUCUUAUCAAACAAAAAUGAUUAUGCAAAUCCUCAAAUUCACGGAGUAAUAAAAGCCCACAAGGUGAAGAGUGAUAGCCAAAGUGAUCCUCAUUUUCAACAAAAGAAGAGAGACUACAUUAUCAGAAGAUAUUCUACGGAUCCCGACUUUCAAACCAGGCAGAAAAAAUAUGUGGUUCAGAAGUACAACACGGAUGCCAGCUUUAAAACCAAACAAAAACAAUAUCUGGUCCAAAGGUACAACACAGAUACUGACUUUCAAAGCAGACAGAAGCAAUAUCUGGUCCAAAGGUACAAAACGGAUGCUGACUUUCAAAGCAGACAGAAGCAAUAUCUGGUCCAAAGGUACAAAACGGAUGCUGACUUUCAAAGCAGACAGAAGCAAUAUCUGGUCCAAAGGUACAAAACGGAUGCUGACUUUCAAAGCAGACAGAAGCAAUAUCUGGUCCAAAGGUACAAAGCGGAUGCUGACUUUCAAAGCAGACAGAAGCAAUAUCUGGUCCAAAGGUACAAAACGGAUGCUGACUUUCGAAGCAGACAGAAAAAAUACAUGAGGCAGAAAUACAGAGAGGAUGAUGUCAGAGAAAGGAAGAGGGCAUACAUAAGAACAAUAUAUGCAUCGGAUCCAAACUACAGGCACAAACAAAAAAAAUCAAUUCAUGCCAGGUACCACAUUGACUCACAAUUCAGACUGCACCAUAUACAGCGCUGUGCCCAGUACCAGAGACACAAAAUGGCUACCACUGCAUCUUUCGCCAUUUAUAAAAAGUUGUGUGCACAGAGAAUAAAGAAGAAAUACAGCCGACUAGUAACACAAUUCCAGCAGGGUCCACAGUCUGAAGCACAGCCCCAGCUUGUAGUGAAUAGUGUGAUGCAAGCAGCCACAUUAGCUUUCCGUGAAACAAUUCAGUUAGGACCCACCCAUGUCUGUACAGUGUGCCACAGAACUCUGUUUCCUAAUCAAGUUAAACACUGCAAAAGAUCAAACUAUGUUAAAAAUAGUCACAUUGUUGACACUUGCUUGACAGGAAAAUUUGUCCAUGUUUGUGAUAGUGAAUGUACAGCUAAUUGUACCAUUCCAAAACAAAGAAUGCAAGAGUGGAUUUGCUACAACUGUGACAGCCACCUACAACAAGGAAAGAUCUCUUCCAUCGCAGUGGCAAACAAUUUAGCACUAGCACCCAUUCCAAUUGAACUGAGUCAAUUAAAUGUACUAGAACAGGGGUGGGCACCGAGGGCCGGUGUCCCUGCAGGUUUUACAUGUGUCCUUGAACCAACACAGCUGAUUUAA